rnacentral:rRNA from 1 species
GACGAACGCUGGCGGCGUGCUUAACACAUGCCAGUCGAACGGAAAGGCCCUGCUUUUGUGGGGUGCUCGAGUGGCGAACGGGUGAGUAACACGUGAGUAACCUGCCCUUGACUUUGGGAUAACUUCAGGAAACUGGGGCUAAUACCGGAUAGGAGCUCCUGCUGCAUGGUGGGGGUUGGAAAGUUUCGGCGGUCGGGGAUGGACUCGCGGCUUAUCAGCUUGUUGGUGGGGUAGUGGCUUACCAAGGCUUUGACGGGUAGCCGGCCUGAGAGGGUGACCGGCCACAUUGGUACUGAGAUACGGCCCAGACUCCUACGGGAGGCAGCAGUGGGGAAUAUUGCACAGUGGGCGGAAGCCUGAUGCAGCAACGCCGCGUGCGGGAUGACGGCCUUCGGGUUGUAAACCGCUUUCGCCUGUGACGAAGCGUGAGUGACGGCAAUGGAUAAAGAAGCACCGGCUAACUACGUG